UACGUAGGGGGCUAGCGUUGUCCGGAAUCACUGGGCGUAAAGCGCACGUAGGCGGGUCGUUAAGUCGGGGGUGAAAUCCUGGAGCUCAACUCCAGAACUGCCUCCGAUACUGGCGAUCUUGGAGUCCGGGAGAGGUGAGUGGAACUCCGAGUGUAGAGGUGAAAUUCGUAGAUAUUCGGAAGAACACCAGUGGCGAAGGCGGCUCACUGGCCCGGUACUGACGCUGAGGUGCGAAAGCGUGGGGAGCAAACAGG
rnacentral:rRNA from 1 species